rnacentral:rRNA from 1 species
UACGGAGGGUGCAAGCGUUAAUCGGAAUUACUGGGCGUAAAGGGUGCGUAGGCGGUUGGUUAAGUCUGUCGUGAAAUCCCCGGGCUCAACCUGGGAAUGGCGAUGGAUACUGGGCAGCUAGAGUGUGUCAGAGGAUGGUGGAAUUCCCGGUGUAGCGGUGAAAUGCGUAGAGAUCGGGAGGAACAUCAGUGGCGAAGGCGGCCAUCUGGGACAACACUGACGCUGAAGCACGAAAGCGUGGGGAGCAAACAGG